CCUACGGGAGGCAGCAGUGGGGAAUAUUGCACAAUGGGGGAAACCCUGAUGCAGCGACGCCGCGUGAGGGAAGAAGUAUUUCGGUAUGUAAAGCUCUAUCAGCAGGGAAGAAAAAAAGUCCUUUGGACUUUGGACGGUACCUGACUAAGAAGCCCCGGCUACCUACGUGCCAGCAGUCGCGGUAAUACGUAGGGGGCAAGCGUUAUCCGGAUUUACUGUGGGUAAAGGGAGCGUAGACGGCAGCGCAAGUCUGGAGGGUAAUGCCGGGGCCCAACCCCGGAACUGCGUUGGAAACUGUGCAGCUGGAGUGGAGGAGAGGUAAGCGGAAUUCCUAGUGUAGCGGUGAAAUGCGUAGAUAUUGGGAGGAACACCAGUGGCGAAGGCGGCUUACUGGACUGUAACGGACGUUGAGGCUCGAAAGCGUGGGGAGCAAACAGGAUUAGAUACCCCAGUAGUC
rnacentral:rRNA from 1 species